CUUCUCGCUGGUUUCCCAUUUUCGGUGUGGACUCAGCUUGUGGGUUCCUUUUCAUUGUUUCGUCGGUUGUGCUGAGGGCUCCGAUGGACGGGGAGCACGGGUGCAGGGGAGGCCGUUGGGGCGGGGUCCUCGCCUCCUCGGCUUUGAAAGCCGUCGCUUUCUUGUGCGUGAAUCCUGGGCGGCGGGGUGGAAGAGGAUGAGGACGGCGGACGGCGUCGGUGUGGGCCGGUGGUCGUCAUCGGCGCCGAGGAGUGGAGCACAAGGCAGGGAGUGAGGGUUCUCUUUGUGGGGUCGUCUCUGUGAUGGCAUGGGUGUUGGGGUGGGGUUUUGUCCACAGGGGUUUAUGGUGCAUGAAAGCUGUUGUGUAGCUCCUCAGGGCAUUAGAUGGCCGUCCAAGUUGGUACAAUACACUGCUCUGUCUUGCAGGCAUUUGAUCGAACACGUCCUGGGCAUGCAGCUGAGCUGAGGGAGGCAAAACAGACUUUAGGCUGAAACGAGAGAGGGAGUGGGCUGGCAGUAAAAGGGAGUCCACUGUAAUAGGAGCUUUUGUAUCAUUCUGGGAUUUGUAGUUUAGGAAAUUGAAAGGGGAUUUGGAUGGGGAAAACAACAUGUGCAUUUGGACUUAUGAUUCGACAGUGUAAUUGUAAUUUGACUCGGCUCUGUAUAAAUGGACUGCAUAAUAUUUAUUCUGGCCCUGUGUCUGGACUAGAUAUGGCUUGUAUGGUUGUGGCUUGGACAACAUUCUGUAAUUGGGAUUGUAUAGAUCGGACUUGUGAUGUGGUUCUGUAUAUUCAUAAUUUGGACUCUGCA